AAUAUUAAAAAAAACAUGAUACUGAUUCAGUACAAUACCAUAUACAUAUCAUUAUCUAUGAACUGACUUAAGAAAAAUUUAGACUACUAAAAUGCCUCUAUUCUGAUGGAGCCUCCAAAAGCAAAGCAACUAAAGCAUUGCAUUUAAAAUAUAAACAUAGCGAUAUAGUUUCAGUGCAAUAUAACACACCAAAGCAUUACAUAUGACCCAAGAGAAGAAUUGGAAUUGCAGCUUGCCACACCCCUCUUGCCCCCAGCCAUAUCCAACCCAGUAAGACAUGGUUUAUAUUCCAUGGGUUCAGAGAACAAAAUUAUCCAUAGCACUAUAGUCCAUUACAUGCCAAUGGUCCAUUUUUUAUACUAAACACAUCAAGGUUUAGCACGCUGUACCAAAAAAAGCAACAAAGAUUGUUCACUGUAACUAAUUCACAAUGCUUUAUCAAGCAUAGGAGUAAACUAUAUAGUUAACUAUUUAAGAUAGAUAGCCUUGUCCACUGAACCCAGAACCCGCCGCCAAUCACUUAAAUCCAGGGUAGUGGGCAGAGUUUCAUACCCACAUAAUUUCUGAGUAGCACAAAAGUCUGGUGAGUAUUCAGAUCAGAAGAAAUUGAUAAGCUAUUGAAUAUAAGCAUAAGUCUAAAAGUUGCUGUUAGGCUUUUUCACCAUAAAGACACAAAAUAUUCAUACAAUGGAUAAAAACCAACUGACCAAAGACAGAUAGAAAAACAUAUGCACAUAGGAACCAAAACCAACAUAAUCCGUAUGAUCAUUCACAGUAGUAGGUCCGUAACAUAGACCACAUUACUUUUCUGGAUCCUCAUAAAACAUCAAACAUUUUGUAGAUACUCAUAUAAUAUACCUAAAACGCUAAAACAUGUUGAUGGCCAGCACAUGUCUGAUCUUCUUUCUAACAAAGCAUCGCAAGCCAUACAAAUAAACAUGCUUUAUCGCAAAAAGUUUUACAAACCAAGCAUAUACACAUACUUGAGCGUUGAAAAAUGGAUAUAAUAGUGGGAAAGGGUAUAGUAGCAACAACAUUUGUACUCACCUUUGUGUAUACAAAACAAAUUAAAUAAAUCCACCCUUUAGUUGUCUUUUCUGCUGGAUAUCUCAUAUGCUUAACUCUGUUAGCAACCUGAUGCGGAUAAAAGAGAAGAUUGAUGCACAUGAAUAAAAACAAGAAAUGUAAAAAUAAGACGGGUAUUUCUUUUGCAGUAAGAGCAUUGUAUUAUAGAGUAAUUGUCCCCAGCCCGCGCCGCCGCAGACGUCCCCGCCGCACGGGCCGCAUCCCCAAGGGGUCCCGUAGCUGGUGUGGCGUGAGGGGCGGCGACCAGGCGAGUCCGUUGGUCGGGAACCUGGCCGGCACCGGCAGAUCCCGCUCCUCCUCGUACUCCUCCAGAUAGAGCUCUUCCGGCAAUACGGCACGGGAGCGCCACGUAGCCGGCCAGCAAGCUCUUCCAUACUUCUAGUUCUCGGCGAGCGCUCAGCCAGGUAUUGGCUGCACAACACUAUCAGUUACGUAGCAAUCAAAUCAUCAUCCCCAUUCAUCCAUUACCCAAACCAAUUAGGGGGGAAAUUACAUAGUAGAAAAAAACAACCUUAGCAUCAUGAAUUGCGUAAAAGAAGAAAGCUAACCACACAAUUGAAGUGAAAGUCUACCUUCAUGUGAUCCAUGACACAAUAGCUCUACAACUAAGAUGAGGUCGUUUUGGAGACACUAACGUGAUUACAUCACCUCAACUUCUGUCUUCCAGGCCGUCCAUCAAUGCAGACCAGCCAUAUAAAAUCUAAAUUACAUUGUGGGUCAAGAAAUCAAAAGGAGGAGCUCACUUGAGCUUUGGGACAACUCACUCACACGAACAUAUGUGCAUAAUAGACCCAGUCGCCCAAGCUUCUCAUAGUGUGAGCUGCUACUCUCCUACAUAAACCACAAUAGCAUUAUAGCGUAGUUCAACUCUUGGUCUUAUACAGGAGUCCGCUACUGUUGAAUAAAAACAGACCAAAACAGCAUUGUGGUGCAUUCGAAAUAAAAUAUUUUUUCCGUGGUCAUUAGAGAAUCAGGACACCUACUUUUUAGUUAAAUUCAACUUGGAAGAAGCUGAGAGCAAUUGUUCCUAAAAGUGCAAUAUCACAUUAGCUAAUAUUAGUAGUUCUUAGCAUUUCUUAAAACAACAAAUAUAAAUGAAAAGUUAGCCUUCUUUGGAAUGAAAUUUAGAACCAAGAGCUAAAAAUGUACAGUUUUGAUACCCAUUAGAUCCAAAACUCAGAACUAUGCAAGGAAAGCACUUACUCAAAAAACAAUGAACUUCAUGAUGAGUUCCGUUGAAGCAUUCAGAUCAACAGUGAACAUAAUCGCCCAUGAUGAUGCAUUCAUAAAAUAAAAUUCAGCAAGGCCCGAAGACUCACAUAAAGGCAGAGUCUCCAUAAAUUACUUUAGGAAAGCUGCAGAACUUGGUUAUCCCUAUGAUGCGACCGAUCUUGGAAUAAAUAAGUAUGCUUUGUUUGUCUAUUUCCAUCAUGGUCUAUUAAUAUAUGGAGUUACACUGUCACGGACCUCUCAUUAUAGACUACUGAACAUCUUCACUAUAAAGUCGGAUCAUAGAUGACCAUGUGAGCCGUGGAUGACCUUGAAGAUUUUAUCCAAAAUUUGAGAAGUUCUGGUACACCAAUAUAAGCUGAAUGAAUGUUAGCAGGGUUAUAUUCUUGACAUGAACACUUUUUCGGAGAAAUUCAAUAACUUAGUUUGUUUCUCGAUAAAUUAAGCAUUUAUCAUGUCAAUGCAAAUUUGAACUGACUUCAUUACUAAUUGUUUAUGACUAAGUUAAUUGUUCAUGCUUCAUACGACCCUCUUGGCUAAGUUAUUUGUUCGCCAUUAGACCAGCAUUUAAAAUAGAUCAAAGCCCAAAAAAACACAAAGUGAAUGGUAGGAAAAAGGGCUAUACCUUUGAUUCUCGAUGCAUUUCUGCAAAGAUGCUCCGUUAGAUCAAACUGGGAGAAAGUAGCUGUAUGGUACAAUGAAAACUGUUGGUCAGUUUUUGUAUGAUGUAGUAAUAUGGUGCCUGCAAUUUUGAAAUAAUAGGAAUUAGUAGGGCAUCGAGGUAGAUUACAAAUAACACAUAGUAGUACUAUAAGUUGGCUGCUAAAUCGGAUAUGCAUCCAGAAGGCGCAAAAAAUAAUCUGGUGAAUGAAGUAGAAGAUUGACACCUAACCAUAGGAAGUACUCAACCAUAGGCACGCAGCAAACUGCAUUAACUAAAGGAACAUGGCCGCAUGAAUCAAAUCAUUUAUUUGUCAAACAUACUUUGUCAUGCUGAAUGGAAUUCAACGCUGCAAAAAGGAAUAUUGUAAUAUAUCUAUUCUCUGGUCACCAAUACAAUCACUAAAUGCAAAAUAAAACAGCAUUCUCUUUCCAUCGAAAAGGAAUUCUCUAAUAACAGAGUCAUUAUCGAUCAAUUAGACCAAAGCUAGUCUGUAGCAGGCUCUUUAUAGAGGAAAUGCAUAUUUCAUUCAUGAUGGAAGAAAUCAAAGUGACUUUAACCAAAUUGAUGCAAGCAAUAACCAGAAUAAAUACCAGCCAGAAUAUCUCCCCAAAAAACAUGAAACACAGGUUUCAAACUGCUCCUCGAAGCAUGAGCCGGAUAAGGCAAGUUAGGUAUGUAUCUCCAUCAUUUUUAGUGGAUUUUGUUGGAGCGUCAAUAAUUUCAACACUCUACUAACUACCAACACCGAGCACAAAGGAAAACCAAAGCAUUUUAUUAUGGCUGCGACAUGAACUAAGAAGAGGACACCUAACGAAACAAUGAUCACAAUUUUUAUCAGACAGAAGCAUGAUGCACACACACACACCUCUCUGAUCCACCAUUGACUCCAAUUUCCAGAAUCCAGCCUACCUCUGCAUUAUAAAGUAUAUGAAAACAAAUCAUGUGGGCUGCAACCGCUACUAUUCCAGAUUAUUUGCCAGCACCCAGCAGAAACCAAACCAAGGCUCUGUCUCUCUAUCUUUUCCACUUAUUUGCUAACCUCUGUAAGGACGAAAUCUUUGGAGAAGAACGAUGAUGCCAAGUCUUGCUGCGGGCCGAACGGGUACAGGCGUUUUGCUGGCAAAAGAUACAUGUAAUUUUGUGAACAUUAGCAAUAUGACAUAUGCAAAGCACUGAAUAGUAGAUUCUGACUAGACCGAUUCAUGCCCAUUUUUAUUGACUUGGUUCUCACAAUUAAUGACAAAUGUUAAUUGGUUAGACUAAUCUGUUGAUCAUGCUUUAGCAGGUUACUUCAUCAAAUUUGGAAGAAAAAAUCCCAGCAAAAGUAAGGCGAGCUACAGCCUACAAGACUGUUAGUUUAGCAGGCAAUGAGUCCUACCACAAGGCCUUCACCUGCAAGGCUGCAACAACGACCCAGACAUCCCUUUAAUAGAUCCAAUUGUACAACAGCAAAAUGUAAAUAUGAAAGGGGCAAAGAAAAAGCGCAAGAGAUAGGCCAAAACCAAGAUCGUCGACCUUCUCUACCCAAUCGACUACAGGGGUAGCAUUUUCCUCUAUCAUUUAUUUUCUUGAAUGGCCAUCACAUCGAUACUUCUCUAGGUUACCUCACCAUAAAGAAAUAUAAUUGCAAGGAUAUCUCCUUUCAAAGUGCUUAGUUGUUUAGCUUCGGCAAACUGCGGAAUAUUAUGAGCUUUCAUGAGAAGUAUAGUACAAACCAUGAUGCUUGCCUUACAGACUGUGAUGCCUCCCGGUGCCUGCAGGCUGCACAGAGCCACACAUAAGAUGGAUCCAUGGAACCAAUCGCUGACAACAACCU
rnacentral:lncRNA from 1 species